rnacentral:rRNA from 1 species
UACGUAGGGUGCGAGCGUUGCCCGGAUUUAUUGGGCGUAAAGGGCGCGUAGGCGGUCACGCACGUCCGUUGUGAAAUCGCUCGGCUCAACUGAGCGGGGUCAGCGGAUACGGCGUGGCUGGAGCAAGCUAGGGGGCAAUGGAAUUCCCGGUGUAGUGGUGGAAUGCGUAGAUAUCGGGAGGAACACCAGUGGCGAAGGCGGUUGCCUGGAGCUUUGCUGACGCUGAUGCGCGAAAGCGUGGGGAGCGAUCCGG